rnacentral:rRNA from 1 species
GACGAACGCUGGCGGCGUGCCUAAUACAUGCAAGUAGAACGCACAGUUUAUACCGUAGCUUGCUACACCAUAGACUGUGAGUUGCGAACGGGUGAGUAACGCGUAGGUAACCUGCCUGGUAGCGGGGGAUAACUAUUGGAAACGAUAGCUAAUACCGCAUAAUAUUAAUUAUUGCAUGAUAAUUAAUUGAAAGGUGCAAUUGCACCACUACCAGAUGGACCUGCGUUGUAUUAGCUAGUAGGUGAGGUAACGGCUCACCUAGGCGACGAUACAUAGCCGACCUGAGAGGGUGAUCGGCCACACUGGGACUGAGACACGGCCCAGACUCCUACGGGAGUCAGCAGUAGGGAAUCUUCGGCAAUGGACGAAAGUCUGACCGAGCAACGCCGCGUGAGUGAAGAAGGUUUUCGGAUCGUAAAGCUCUGUUGUAAGAGAAGAACGGGUGUGAGAGUGGAAAGUUCACACUGUGACGGUAUCUUACCAGAAAGGGACGGCUAACUACGUG